GACGAACGCUGGCGGCGUGCUUAACACAUGCAAGUCGUACGGUAAGGCCCUUUCGGGGGUGCUCGAGUGGCGAACGGGUGCGUAACACGUGAGUAACCUGCCCACAACUUUGGGAUAACGCUAGGAAACUGGUGCUAAUACUGGAUAUGUGCUCCUGCUGCAUGGUGGGGGUUGGAAAGCUCCGGCGGUUGUGGAUGGACUCGCGGCCUAUCUGCUUGUUGGUGGGGUAGUGGCCUACCAAGGCGGCGACGGGUAGCCGGCCUGAGAGGGUGACCGGCCACAUUGGGACUGAGAUACGGCCCAGACUCCUACGGGAGGCAGAAGUGGGGAAGAUUGAACAAUGGGCGCAGGCCUGAUGCAGCAACGCCGCGUGCGGGAUGACGGCCUUCGGGUUGUAAACCGAAUUCAGCAGGGACGAAGCUUUUUGUGACGGUACCUGCAGAAGAAGCACCGGCUAACUACGUG
rnacentral:rRNA from 1 species